CAAGUCGAACGCUCGGGGCUUCGGCCCCNGGGAGUGGCGCACGGGUGAGUAACGCGUGGGAACCUGCCCUGGAGUGGGGGAUAACCGAGGGAAACCUCGGCUAAUACCGCAUUCGUCCUGAGGGAGAAAGGCCGGUCCGAAAGACCGGUUGCUCUAGGAGGGGCCCGCGUCGGAUUAGCUAGUUGGCGGGGUAACGGCCCACCAAGGCGAUGAUCCGUAGCUGGUCUGAGAGGAUGAUCAGCCACACUGGGACUGAGACACGGCCCAGACUCCUACGGGAGGCAGCAGUGGGGAAUAUUGGACAAUGGGCGAAAGCCUGAUCCAGCAAUGCCGCGUGGGUGAUGAAGGCCUUAGGGUUGUAAAGCCCUUUCGGCGGGGACGAUGAUGACGGUACCCGCAGAAGAAGCCCCGGCUAACUUCGUG
rnacentral:rRNA from 1 species